CUUUUCUUGUUACCCCGCCUAUAUACCGCCGUCGUCAGCUUACCCUGCAAAGGACACAUAGUAAGCAAAGUUGGUAAGACCCAAAACGCCAGGUCGAGGUGUAGCGUAUGAAAAGGAAAGAAAUGGGCUACAUUCCGUGACACAAUGAAUACGAAUGAUGGACUGAAAAACCCAUCUGAAGGAGGAUUUAGCAGUAAGAGGAAAGCAGAGAGUUCCCCUGAAGCAGGCCCUGAAGCGCGUACACACCGCCCGUCACUCUCCCCGAAUACACUAAACCUGUAAGUAACACAAUGAACCAGACAAGGGGAGGCAAGUCGUAACAUGGUAAGUGUACCGGAAGGUGCACUUGGAAAAAC
rnacentral:rRNA from 1 species